AAGGACAGUCUGGUCUACAGAUUGAGUUCCAGGAGAGUCAGAGCUGCAUAGUGAGACCCGACCUCAAAAAUAAGAUAAAAUUGCAUACAAAUGGAGCAUCCUGUCUGAAUGGAUUGUUUUUAUUGGCUUGUUAGAAUAGUCCUUGGUGAUUUCUCACCAUGUUGCUCAGGUGGUCCUCCUGCCUCUCACCUUCUGAGUAAUUAGGGCUAAAGGCUAUACUUUUUACAUUAUGAGAACAUUCAGAGAGAUGAAAAUUUAUCUGAAUCAUCUUGCUUUUUGUUUUAUGAGACUGAUUCCUUUAACAGCUCAGCAAUGUUUUCAUCACUUAGGUGUGGGUUGGCUCAGAGAUUUUUUUUUUUUAAAUGAAAGAUAUGCUUUUGCUACGUAUGUACCCAGACUGGUUUUGAACUCUUAGCUUUCUGCUUCAGACAGACAGUGCUUGUUGGCAAGCCUGAUGACUUGGAGCCCACCUGGUGGAGAAACCGCCUCUAUACUGUGUCUUCUGACAUCCACCUGUCACUCUGGCACACAUACGUGUGCAUGAAGGAGGGGAAAGCUCUUGGCUGAAUGUGAUGCAUACAGUCUCAGCAGCACUUGAAAGUGAAGUGAUCAGAGUUCAAGUACUAACCAUGUUACAUAAUGUGGUUCAGCAAGCAAAAUGUCUUCUACUCAUUGACCUGCUGGGAAACUAAAGUGCAAUGGGAAAACACUGAAUUGAAAAGUGGGGGCUGCUGCUGUGGCUCUGUUGAUAACAUACUCAGUAUGCUUGGAGCCCUGGGCCUGGUCUCUAGCACUUGCAGAACUACUGAUAUGGUAGCGUACUUAUGUAGUCUAGCACUGGGGAGGUGAGAGCAGGAGUUCCAGGUUGUAUUUUUUUUUUUUUUUUUAGCUAUGUAACCAGUAAGAGCCGUGUGGUUUUUCAGUCUUCCUAAUGCUGAAACCCUUUAAUGCAUGUUUCCCAUGUUGUGACCCUCGACCAUAAAUUAUUUUUGUUGAGGCUUCAUAACUAAUUUUGCUAGUGUUAUGAAUCACAAUGUAAAUAUCUGAUGAUGAGACUCCUGUGAAACGGAAGGUUCUUCUAACAAAGUGGUUGUGAGCUGCGGGUUCAGAACCAGAGUUAGAGGCUAACCUAUGCUAUAUGAGGCCCUGUCUCAACAAUUUGUAGAAACUGAAUACAACUGAUUUCCAGUGUUAAAGUGGUUUGGACUUAUUUAUUUUUUUUGGUUUUUUGAGACAGGGUUUCUCUGUGUAGCCCUGGCUGUUCUGGAACUCACUCUGUAGACCAGGCUGGUCUCGAACUCAGAAAUCCACCUGCCUCUGCCUCCCUAGUGCUGGGAUUAAAGGCGUGCGCCACCACGCCCGGCUGGUUUGAACUUAUUUUAGUGUAAGUUUCCAGUGAAGUGAGUGAGCAUUCCAUGAGGUUACACUAAUGUGUAAGUAGACAGGGUAGUACUGGCAUGACUGACUCAGGAGUCUGUUUCAAGAAAAAAAGACUUUAAUGGUAAACACGGCUUCCUUAGCACUCUUCUGCUAUUCAUUUGUUCAUUAACAUAAUGAACACCUGUGAGCUUGCUUUGGACUUUACUGUUUGCCAUGUAUGGAGCAUGUAGAAGAAUGCAUAUCAAUAAGGGCAUCAAGCCUAGUCUCGCUUUGCCUCCAUUAGCUGCCUUAUUCCUUCCUACAUGUUCCCCAGUCUUGGGUAUACAGAGAUUUGGUAUGUCCUUGGAAGGAGACUGGGCGGCUGCAAUGGUUGCACUAUUUUGUAUUGAAGACAUGAUCCAUUCUGGUUUCUAAGUAGCUCAAAGAUGCUAUGAGGGUAGUCAGGGAGCUCUCAAGUAGUGAUUGGCAGUUUGUUUUGGGCACUAAGGUCUUUUCAUUAAGACUCAAGAAUAUGCUCUUCCUCUGAGCUGUACCUUGUACACUAGACCAAGAAUGACUUUGAAGUUUUUUAGGACUCUUCAGAAGCAGGGUUGACUCGAGUAAUGCCAAGUUCAGCCGUCUUUACCCUGAUGCAUUAACACUAAUGUAGACUUAAGGGGGAAAGAAUAGUGAGAGGUGUAGAUCAUAUGUGCUGUGGGAAUGAAAAGCUAUUUUCAAUUGUUGGAAUUAGUUUUCUCAGCGCUUGAGGUCAUACUGAGAUAAAGAUUGACUUCACAGAAUGAUGGUGGUGCAGUCCAAGAACUAGUCUCUAGUUCAUUUAGAGAAUAAGCAGGCUGAUUAGGUUGAAGCAGGUGAGUUUAAGGAGGAGAUGUCUCAAAAAUAAGAGGUUCUUUUGGAGAUUUAAAAGUUGAAUUAUCAAGUACAGAUUUUUUUUAAUUAGAGAAGAAAAAACUUUACAAGAAAUAUAAAUAUACUAUGUAUACCUAUAAUCUUGGCAUUUAGGAUGCUGAAAGAGAAUGAUUGUGUGUAUUCUGGUCUCUCUGGAUAAACAGUACAUAAUAAUGGAGUUUCCAGGCUAGUCUAGGCUGUAUAGAGUGACAGUUGGAAUAGUGGUUUGUCUCAGUUUGAGGUAAUACAGCAAAGUACGAAUAGAAUGGUACAUGAACACAAUAGAAGUAAUCCUCCCCCUCCCCCACCCCCCUUGACAGGGUUUCUCUGUGUAGCCAUGGCUGUCCUGGAACUCACUGUGUAGACCAGGCUGGCCUUGAACUCAACAGAGAUCUGCCUCCUGAGUGCUGGGAUUAAAGUUGUUCACCACCACUGCCCAUCGAUCUCUGGUUUCUUUAUAAAAGGCAGUUCUAAUCUCUUAAGCUUUGCCGUUAUGAUUUGAUCACUUCCUACUAAGGUCUCUACCUUGAUUGGCAUUUCAAAUGUAAAUGAAAGAAAACAUGCACAACACAUUGAAUCCAUGGCAGUGCAUAAUGUACACGGAGGCAGUAUUUUCACUUAACUGGUGAAGUAUGAAUUGGGUAGUGUGUAUAAGAGCAAUGCUCUUAAACUGGGUAUGUUUACACAUGCCUUGGAUUAUAGAAUUGGAGCAGCAAAGGCAGGCGGAUCUUACUGAGUUUGAGGUCAACUUGGUCUAGAUAGUUUUAGGACAGCCAGCAGUAUGUAGAGAGACCAACC
rnacentral:lncRNA from 1 species